GGCCUCCUGGUGCUCACCACAGGCUGUGUUCUCAUACUGACUGUAGAGACAACCAAAGUGAACCUACCCAAUAUGCACCUCGGCCCAGGCCCUAUGCGCGCUCUGUACUGUGAAUGGGGAAGACAUGG
rnacentral:snoRNA from 1 species